UGAGGUACAGUAUAAAGGAACAG
rnacentral:piRNA from 1 species